UUCAGUUCACUCUGGCCAAGCUCCAACUGCCAGCCUCUGCUUCCCUUGGUCUGCAGCCUUUUUCUAAAGAGCCAUGGAAGGCCACUCUGCCCACACCCUGUCCCAGCGGCCCUCAACCACUGACUCUGGGGAGGAGGCAUACAAACUUUGCAGCUCCCUCGCUAUGUGAGUGGCAUCAUUCUGAGGGCCCACCACUGAUGAUGGCAUUUGGAUUCAGUGACUUUUCUUUGCGAUGAGGAUGAAUAAGACAUGAAGUGAGCAGAAGCGGGCAGGAUCCGCACUCAAGAAAUGCCAGACUUGUCCAUCUCUAGGAGAUACAUCCUCGUUGCCUGAAAAACCCCUUCUUUCUUCCAAACUCUGUCAAUAGAGAAAAAAUUGCACAAUGUAAAAGUUGAGAGUUAUGUUUUAUUUGGCAGACGGCACUGAGGACUUAAGCCCAGGAUGCAGCCUCUUAGAUACCUCUGAGGGACUGCUCUGAAGAGGUUUAUGUGGACCAAGAGCAGCAUGCACAAGGAUGUGGCAGAGCCUCCAUGACAUAUUAAAGAGUGACACUACUAACAUACCACUG